CCCUUAGAUGUUCUGGGCUGCACGCGCGCUACACUGAUGCGCUCAACGAGUUUACGACCUUGCCCGGAAGGGUUGGGUAAUCUUUUUAAAACGCAUCGUGAUGGGGAUAGAUUAUUGCAAUUAUUAAUCUUUAACGAGGAAUUCCUUGUAAUCGUGCGUCAUCAGCGCACGCUGAAUACGUCCCUGUUCUUUGUACACACCGCCCGUCGCUCCUACCGAUCGAGCGAUCCAAUGAAUGUUUCGGAGCGGAACUGAGAUGCUAAUGCGUCUCUUUUACGCGAAUUUGUGUGAAUUUGAUCGCUUAGAGGAAGGAGAAGUCGUAACA
rnacentral:rRNA from 1 species